UGAGCCAGGGAGGAUAGACUUUAUUCAGAGAGGAUACAUAAGAGUCCUGCGUCUCCUACAGCCUUGAUGCUGUUCUGGCACACCACAGGAUAAAUUAGGAGUAUUGGCUCAAGUUCAUAGACUUCAUAUCAACAUCAGUGUCAGAUUGACCUGCAUGAAGAAGUCUGGCCUGGUUAUGUCACUAGUAUGUGUGCUUUAUUAGUCACACACUGAACACACAGGUUCUUGCUGUUCAUCCAGAGUCGUGUCCACUAGGUGGCAGCAGUGCACCUUUACGUUGGUUGUACAGAAGAAGAAGAAACCCGGAAGCUGCUAGCAGCGCUAGCUUGUUGUUGUUCUGGUGUGUGAGGUGAAUGAAUAUUUGAGUCUCUGGGAGAGUUGAUCGGCUAAAGCGACUAACUGCUGCUGCUGCAGAAAUCUUCUCACCAGGCUGUGGAAACCUACUUCUCCUCCUCAACAACUUGGUGGACUUCUUUCCAGAACCAGAGAAGAUAUUCUGCGGUCUUCGUGACAAUCGGAGCUCCAGAAGCAGCUGUUAGCUAAACACGGCUAAAGAAAACCUGCUACCACUUCAGGAUCAUCCAUCAGCUGGGACUGCUUCAUCAGCAUGGACACAGGGCAUGUUGUGAUCUGUGGGGGAAACCGGAGUACCCGGAGGAAACCCACGCAUGCAUGGGGAGCAGUGGCGGUUCCACAUGGAAUUACUCCCCGUGCGACGCCCCCUUUGAGCGCCCCACCACCACCCCACCUGCACGAACACGCAUGUUUUCUACAAACAGGCAUGUUUUAUUAGAACAACUAUUGAACAUUCAUUUUUCUAAGUUGCACAUAUUUACAUUAAUUACUAUGAAGUUGUCAGAAUGUAAAGCAAUAUACAUUAUAUGCUGUAUCAAAAUAUAUAGAAUCAAAGUUCCAAUGUACCCUCCCCCAAACACAUGCACGCACACACAUGUACACAUACACACACGCACGUACACAUACACAAAUUAUUGCAAGCGCCUUAACUAGAGCUCAGUCAGUUUGUGUAAUGUCCUCCAACGGUUUACGAAAAAACAGUUUGAAGCCGUUAUGCAGCGGAACGCUGGCAACAAAGCUCUGCCUGAUCAACACUAUAAAUGAUAAAUGACCCGCACUUGUAUAGCGCCUCUCAGAGUAAAGACUCCAAAGCGCUUUACGCUACAGUGUAUCAUUCAUCCAUUCACACACACAUUCACACACUGAUGGUGAUAAGCUACGAUGUAGCCACAGCUGCCCUGGGGCGCACUGACAGAGGUGCCCCGCUAUUUAAUUCACUCAUUUGUUAUUCUUCCAACCAAGUGCUAACCAAAACCUCAUGCUUUAUGCAAAACAUUAAAUGAUUUUCAGCAUACCAAUCUUUACAGAAAACAUAAAACCCUAAAAAAAACUGCACAUAAAAUAUAAUAAGAAACAAUAUUCACUUAUCACUUAGAGCAGUGGUUCCCAUCAGCCUGACCAACAGAUGUUCCUUCAUAUUUUUAUGUUAUUUAUACAUUUUCAUUAUAUUUGGAAAGUUUUAAUUUAUAUAUAAAUAUAUAAAUCUAUUUUAAAAUUUUAUACUUGACUUCCAUAUUAACGCAUCAGUAUCUGCACCUUUUUUACGGCUUUUUUUUUUACAUUGUCGCUACGUCUGUCACGUUAGCGGUGUUUUACCACCAUUUCUACAUCCAUCACGUCCCAGAGAAGGUUAAACCAACAUCAGACCCAACGUUUGGAGCUGGUAAACUCCACACACCUCUCGUGCAGCACCAGCUGUCUGAUGCUGCAGCAGCGUCAAUCUUCCCGGCUGGAUGAGUGAAUUUCUUCAUCAGAGUCAAUAUUCUGCUUCAUAAUCAGAGUCAGUCAUUACCAGACAAAGUGGUCAGUCAGCAAAGA